rnacentral:rRNA from 1 species
UACGUAGGGCGCAAGCGUUGUCCGGAAUUAUUGGGCGUAAAGAGCUCGUAGGCGGCUUGUCACGUCGGAUGUGAAAGCCCGGGGCUUAACCCCGGGUCUGCAUUCGAUACGGGCAGGCUAGAGUUCGGUAGGGGAGUCUGGAAUUCCUGGUGUAGCGGUGAAAUGCGCAGAUAUCAGGAGGAACACCAGUGGCGAAGGCGGUGCUCUGGGCCGGAACUGACGCUGAGACGCGAAAGCGUGGGGAGCAAACAGG